rnacentral:rRNA from 1 species
UACGUACUGUGCGAACGUUAUUCGGAAUCACUGGGCUUAAAGGGUGCGUAGGCGGCCAAUUAAGUAGGGGUGUGAAAGGUUACGGCUCAACCGUGACAUUGCGCUCUAGACUGAUUGGCUCGAGUGAGAUAGGGGUGUGCGGAACUUCCAGUGGAGCGGUGAAAUGUGUUGAUAUUGGAAGGAACGCCGGUGGCGAAAGCGGCACACUGGGUCUUAACUGACGCUGAGGCACGAAAGCCAGGGGAGCGAACGGG